AACGCGAAGAACCUUACCUGGGUUUGACAUGUAUGGAUUAACUCUCUGAAAGGAGAGCCACGCCCUUUGGGUGGAACAUACACAGGUGCUGCAUGGCUGUCGUCAGCUCGUGCUGUGAAGUGUCGGGUUAAGUCCCUUAACGAGCGCAACCCCUAUCGCUAGUUACUAACGCGUCAUGGCGAGGACUCUAGCGAGACUGCCGGUGUCAAACCGGAGGAAGGCGGGGAUGACGUCAAGUCCUCAUGGCCCUUACGCCCAGGGCUGCAAACGUGCUACAAUGGUACGGACAAAGCGAUGCAAGACCGCAAGGUGGAGCAAAUCGCAAAAACCGUGCCCCAGUUCGGAUAGCAGGCUGAAAUUCGCCUGCUUGAAGCCGGAAUCGCUAGUAAUCGGAGAUCAGCUACGCUCCGGUGAAUACGUUCCUGAGCCUUGUACACACCGC
rnacentral:rRNA from 1 species